GGUGGGGAGCUGCCAAUGCCUUGACUCUUCUAUUUGCGAAGGACAGCAAAAAACUGGGACAGAGUUGCAGAAUUUGCCUUCAAGAUGAUGUUCUGAUGGAGCUGGGCCUGAUGGCCUCAUUGCAGUCUGAGAAGCCAGAAGGGAUUGUGAGAGCAGUUGUGAGACUAAUUCAUGAAGACUGAGAUUCAUCAAAUGAUAGAGGCAGAAAGAUUACAACAAAAAGAAAUGCAGUAUGGCAGCAUGCAUACAGCUUGGUGCGGAAACCUUGGAAGUGAGCAGCAAAGGGAGCUUCACAAGGUGAUGUGAUGUGCUGGUCCAUGGGGUGCAGAAGCAGUCCUGAAGCAUGCUUCAGAGGAGCCACAUUUCCAGAACUACAGUGCUGUUCCUGUCCUCUUUGGGAAAUCACAGAGCCUGAGACCAUCUGAAUUAUGAAGUAC
rnacentral:lncRNA from 1 species